rnacentral:lncRNA from 1 species
GCAGUAGAACAUAGGAGUUGGAUGAGUGUCCAAUAUAAUAUGAGAGAGAUAGGAAAAGGGUAAAGAGGUAAAAAUUUUGAGAAAGAAAGAUUAGGACCUGCCCUGGUCGAGCAUCGCUCUCUGGGCUUAGUAGAGUGUGGUUGCCGGAGUAAAGGUCCCUGGUCGAGCAUUGCUCUCGGGGCGCCGGCUUAUUUGGAUAUUUAAGUGACCAGACUGGAG